rnacentral:tRNA from 1 species
AUUUAUAUAGUUUAAUGUUAAAAUUUUAUUUUUUCAUAAUAAAGAUAUCAUUAUUUAAUGUUUAUAAAUG